GCAGUAAGUGGCUCUAUCGCACCAUUGGUGAGGAAAGUCCGGACAACGUAGGGUGCCACACUACCUAACGGGUAGGGUUUGGUGAGAGCCAGAUACAGAGAGUGUCACAGAAAAUAACCGCCACAUCUAUGAUGAGGUAAGGGUGAAAAUGUGGGGUAAGAGCCCACGAUGCUUCAUAGUAAUAUGGGGGGUGGAUAAACCUUGUGGGUUGAAAUGCCAUGUAUACCGGCCCUAAAUGAAAAUUUGGGAGUAGUUACCCGCUAUUUGCCGGGGGGUAGGCAGCUAGAACCUUUCAGUGAUGAUAGGUCAAGAUAAAUGAUAGAGAUUUUCAAAUGGAAAUACAGAAUCCGGCUUAUAAGCUUACUGCAUAU
rnacentral:RNase_P_RNA from 1 species